rnacentral:rRNA from 1 species
CCUACGGGUGGCAGCAGUGAGGAAUAUUGGUCAAUGGACGAGAGUCUGAACCAGCCAAGUAGCGUGAAGGAUGACUGCCCUAUGGGUUGUAAACUUCUUUUAUACAGGAAUAAAACGAGGCACGUGUGCCUUUUUGCAUGUACUUUAUGAAUAAGGAUCGGCUAACUCCGUGCCAGCAGCCGCGGUAAUACGGAGGAUCCGAGCGUUAUCCGGAUUUAUUGGGUUUAAAGGGAGCGUAGAUGGGUUGUUAAGUCAGUUGUGAAAGGUUGCGGCUCAACCGUAAAAUUGCAAUUGAUACUGGCAGUCUUGAGUACAGUUGAGGUAAGCGGAAUUCGUGGUGUAGCGGUGAAAUGCUUAGAUAUCACGAAGAACCCCGAUUGCGAAGGCAGCUUACUAAACUGUGACUGACAUUGAUGCUCGAAAGUGUGGGUAUCAAACAGGAUUAGAUACCCGAGUAGUC